rnacentral:ncRNA from 1 species
AGUAAGCGCGAGUCAUCAGCUCGCGUUGACUACGUCCCUGCCCUUGUACACACCGCCCGUCGCUCUACGAUUGAAUGAUCCGGUGAAGUGUUCGGAUCGCGGCGACGUGGGCGGUUCGCUGCCCGCGACGUCGCGAGAAGUCCACUGAACCUUAUCAUUUAGAGGAAGGAGAAGUCGUAACAAGGUUUCCGUAGGUGAACCUGCGGAAGGAUCAUUG